UAGAAAUCAAAGGUUGAAUGAGGGAAAAAAAGGGCAACACAACCAAUAGUUUAUAAAUUGAUUGCACAUAUUACGUAUGAAGUUGUAACAUUAUAUAGCAAAUAUAAUAAAAUCUUAAUCAAUCUAAGGUAUUUCUAAUAUUUCACAUCAAUAAAUCUGAAAUGUUUUUUUUGAAAUGAUUUUUUGCUUGAAGAAGGGGUUGGGAAGUGGAGAGGAUCCUUCCUUAAUUUACCCUAAUAAUUCAACUUGACUUGUUUACCAAGCUCCAAUUAUUCAACACUCUCCUAUAUAUAUUGACAACUCCAUUGUCAUUUUUCACUCAAGCAAGUGCCCAUUCCAUUCCAUCUUCCCAUUCCAAUUCCAUCUUCACACACAAAUAUGAAUACUAUUAAUCAAUUCAAAACUGGAGUACAAAUUGAGCAUAGCAAUAUGCAAAGUUCUUCGAUUUCCCUUUUUAGUUGUUUUCUUGACACCCUUUCUCUUUUCUUUACCUCACUCUGUGGCGAUGACCAUCAUCAUUUCAUUGUGUCAGAAGACGCGUGUAUUGGUGAAAAAAACAUCGCCUCUUCUAAUAUUGCAGCACAAAAGCAAUUCCAACAACUUCAUCAGAUAAAAGGGCCAUGAUCAAUCAACUUUACUUCAUGUUCUUGUUGUACGCGGUAAAAGAUUCAUCACUUAGAGAAGAUGAUUAAAACAAGUGAUCAAGCUAUAUAUUACAUCGAUAUCAAUCGUACGAGUCUUGUGUAAUAAGUCAAAGAGUGCAUGUGGAAAAUGAAUUGCAUUAUAUUGUAUUGAAACUUUCAUUUCAUUGUCACCCUUCUUUUUUAUAGUAACAAAUCUAUUAUUAACUCGUCAUUCA